rnacentral:rRNA from 1 species
CAGAAUUCCGCGAAUCAUCGAGUCUUUGAACGCAAGUUGCGCCCGAGGCUUGCCCUCGGGCAUUUCUGUCAGAGCGUCACC